rfam:Cephalotus follicularis DNA, scaffold: scaffold6428, isolate: St1.
GUGUGCGAUCAUAUUAGUACGAAAGCAUCAAAUCCCAUUGGAACUCCAAAGUUAAGCGUGCUUGGGCGAGAAUGGUACUAAGAUGAGCUUUGUCACAGGACUUCCACAGAAACAGGCA